UUAUCAUCCGUGAAGGAAGGGUCUGUAUCCAUUACCUACCACUUUCACCUGCGCGCGUCAAUCAAGCCGUUUUCCUGACACAACACUUCACCCUGGUUGGCUGUUCUGUUUGAGGGAGGUGACGCAAACGGCCAUAUUGACAUCCCAUUGGAAAAGACAGUGUGAGGCAUUGGAGUGACGCAGCUUGGAAUUCCCACAUUUUCCGACGUUCACGACAGGAAAGCUGUCUGUAAAACAAUACCAGGACAUAUUCGAGCUAAAACGGUGAAAUUGAAUUGAAGUCCGCAGGAAUAAGUUGUAGUUGCUGUGCUGAGCGUCAAGGGGGCAAUGUCUGACAGCAGCAGCACAGGCAGCAGCCGCAGUGGAUCCUCAACCAACAGUUGGACCAUGCUGUCCCCAGAGUCGCAGCCCUGAUUUCCAGUUGCUCUAUGGUAUUGACGGAUGCACUGAGGAAAAUAGUGUACAAUUCCUUCUAUCAUGUAAAGAGAAGACACCUUCAACACCUACUUGAAGGCACCGGACCAGGUGAACAGCCAUCGGAGGAAAGCCAACUACCACCGGAACAAGACAACAUUCAUCCCGAUCAGCUUCUAGCUAUCUCCAAACACCUGACUUGGAUGAAGGGCAAAGGGGCAUUGACCAACUUGGAGCUGUCAGUGCAACAAGUAAGUUACUCGGUUGGUGGCAGUCGAUUGAAAUUGACCAUAAAGUACUAA
rnacentral:lncRNA from 13 species